AGUCCUGUGAUAUAGGCCCACAAUACUUACUUCUCUGUGUCUCAGUUUCCCCAUCUGUAAAUUGGGGGUAAUAACAGAACCUAGAGGCAAAGUUGCAGGGAAGGCUUCCUGGGCCGAUGCAUGUGAAGAGCCCAAUAGGGUGUGAGCUCUCAGUACGCCUGAGCUGCUGUUAUUAGUAACUCUAUCAUCACUGGGUUGGUGCCUACUUCUCAAGGUUUUGAGGGAGAACAAUAAGAAUUAGUACCAGGGGCUAGGUGCCGUGACUCGCACCUGUAAUCCCACCACUUUAGGAGGCCAAGGCAGGUGGAUCACCUGAGGUCAGGUGUUCGAGACCAACCUGGCCAACAUGGUGAAACCCCAUCUCUACUAAAAAUACAAAAAUUAGGCAGGUGUGGUGGUGGGUACCUGUAGUCCCAGCUACUCGGGAGGCUGAGGCAGGAGAAUGGCAUGAACCUGGGAGUAAGAGCUUGCAGUGAGCCAAGAUCACGCCACUGCACUCCAACCUGGGCAACAGAGCAAGACUCCAUCUCAAAAAAAAAAAAAAAAAUUAGUACCAGGAUCUCCGGGUAUCCCCACAUGCAGGGCACGAAGAGGUUAGCCUCAGGCAGGAAGGCAGCACAGGCUGGCUCCAGGGGAUUGGUGGGCAGGCGGCCAGGUAGCUCUUACCUGAAGCCCAGGUGCUUGUGCAUGUGCUUAAUGUAGUGUCCAUGGGAUGAAGGGGUCUAAGUGGGCUUCAGACAUGUUGCAGGAUGGGCAGAGGGUGUGCUACCCUCUCGUGGCUAGCUGAGCAGCCAUCACUCUGGCAUAGAUGAGUGGGAUGCUGUGCAGGGUAGCCUGGCUGGGCACCACCGAGUGGGUCUGUGGGGGGAAGCGCUGGCAUCGGAGCUCUGAUGUCUAUGGGAGAGGUGGUGCCAUGAAGGCCAGCAGGGCCCAUGGAGGCAGGCUCCACUGCGCAUGGGAUGGAGCAUCCCCCUUAGCUCACGCAGGCCUCCGGAGAGUUUACCCACAUGGUCCAGCCACACAGCAGAUGGGUAUUUGCCCCUGUCUGACGAACUCCCACGCCGAUGCUCUCAGCUUCCCAGGAGCCAAGAGGCCUGUGGUCUAAGCGCAGCUCUUCUCAAACUGUGUGAGUGAGCUUGGGCAGGUCUAAGACCCCUCCUGAGUGCUUCAGUAUCCCUCUCAGGAUGUCCAGAGGAAAACUCCAGGCUGCCCCACCUCUUCCUCCAGGAUAGUCUGUCAUCAGUUUACACGUUGGGCUUUCCUGGAAAAUUUAGAACACAGGGCCU
rnacentral:lncRNA from 1 species